CGCGUGCAGGAUGACGGUCCUAUGGAUUGUAAACUGCUUUUGUACGAGAAGAAACACUCCUUCGUGAAGGAGCUUGACGGUAUCGUAAGAAUAAGGAUCGGCUAACUCCGUGCCAGCAGCCGCGGUAAUACGGAGGAUCCAAGCGUUAUCCGGAAUCAUUGGGUUUAAAGGGUCCGUAGGCGGUUUAGUAAGUCAGUGGUGAAAGCCCAUCGCUCAACGGUGGAACGGCCAUUGAUACUGCUGAACUUGAAUUAUUAGGAAGUAACUAGAAUAUGUAGUGUAGCGGUGAAAUGCUUAGAGAUUACAUGGAAUACCAAUUGCGAAGGCAGGUUACUACUAAUGGAUUGACGCUGAUGGACGAAAGCGUGGGUAGCGAACAGGAUUAGAUACCCUGGUAGUCCAAGGGCGAAU
rnacentral:rRNA from 1 species